AUGUGUGUGGUUCCACGUUUGGCGGUCCAGGUGCUCUGCUAAGCUGUCUGCUUGAGCAGGUUGGCUUGUGCCAAGCUUAUGUUCUGACCAUGCCAUGGGAGGGAUAAAACAGUAGGAAACGUUUGCUAAUACCCUGUAGGCUAGGGAGCAAAAGGAGGAAUCCACCCGAGGAGGGGCUCGCAUCUGAUUAGCUAGUUGGUGGGGCAAUAGCUUACCAAGGCGAUGAUUAGUAGAUGGUCCGAGGGGAUGAUCAACCACACUAGGACUGAGACACUGCCCAGACUCCUACGAGAGGCAGUAUUGGGGAAUUUUCCGCAAUGGGCGAAAGCCGGACGGAAGAAUUCCACAUGGAGGUAGAAGGCCUACGGGUCAUGAACUUCUUUUACCGGAGACGAAGCAAUGACAAUUUUGAACUGUUUAUCAGAAUAAGACUAAUAUUAUAUGCAU
rfam:Lupinus angustifolius cultivar Tanjil contig_15490, whole genome shotgun sequence.